CCUACGGGAGGCAGCAGUGGGGGAUAUUGCACAAUGGGGGAAACCCUGAUGCAGCGACGCCGCGUGUGGGAAGACGGUCCUCUUUAUUGUAAGCCACUGUCGCCAGGGACGAAGAUGACGGUACCUGGGGAGGAAGCUCCGGCUAACUACGUGCCAGCAGCCGCGGUAAUACGUAGGGAGCGAGCGUUGUCCGGAAUUACUGGGUGAAAAGGGAGCGUAGGCGGGGAUGCAAGUUGGGUGGCAAAACUACCGGCUCAACUGGUAGUCGCACUCAAAACUGCAGCUGUUGAGUGAAGUAGAGGCAGGCGGAAUUCCUAGUGUAGCGGUGAAAUGCGUAGAUAUUAGGAGGAACACCAGUGGCGAAGGCGGCCUGCUGGGCUGUUACUGACGCUGAGGCUCGAAAGUGUGGGGAGCAAACAGGAUUAGAUACCCGGGUAGUC
rnacentral:rRNA from 1 species